GUGAAUCCUCGAAUUUUUGAACGCAAAUUGCACUCUUCGGUUUUCCGGGAGAGUAUGCCUGUUUGAGGGCCUGUUUAAAAAAUAAUCGAGGCUGCUGCUGUGGUGGCGCUUCGGAAUUGGGUCACAUUCCACCUUUCGGGGUUGUAAGCGACCUAAAAUUCUUCUUACGAUUUCUACGAACGUGUCCAAGAAUUUUUCUUGUAAGUUCGCGACAUGGAAUUCAUAUUAGG
rnacentral:misc_RNA from 1 species